UACAUGCAGUCGAGCGAAUGACGAAGAAGCUUGCUUCUUCUGAUUUAGCGGCGGACGGGUGAGUAACACGUGGGCAACCUGCCCUGUAGAUUGGGAUAACUCCGGGAAACCGGGGCUAAUACCGAAUAAUCCAUUUCCUCUCAUGGGGAGAUGUUAAAAGACGGUUUCGGCUGUCACUGCAGGAUGGGCCCGCGGCGCAUUAGCUAGUUGGUGAGGUAACGGCUCACCAAGGCGACGAUGCGUAGCCGACCUGAGAGGGUGAUCGGCCACACUGGGACUGAGACACGGCCCAGACUCCUACGGGAGGCAGCAGUAGGGAAUCUUCCACAAUGGACGAAAGUCUGAUGGAGCAAUGCCGCGUGAGUGAAGAAGGUUUUCGGAUCGUAAAACUCUGUUGUGAGGGAAGAACAAGUACGAGAGUAACUGCUCGUGCCUUGACGGUACCUCAUUAGAAAGCCACGGCUAACUACGUGCCAGCAGCCGCGGUAAUACGUAGGUGGCAAGCGUUGUCCGGAAUUAUUGGGCGUAAAGCGCGCGCAGGCGGUCCCUUAAGUCUGAUGUGAAAUCCCACGGCUCAACCGUGGAAGGUCAUUGGAAACUGGGGGACUUGAGUACAGAAGAGGAAAGCGGAAUUCCAAGUGUAGCGGUGAAAUGCGUAGAGAUUUGGAGGAACACCAGUGGCGAAGGCGGCUUUCUGGUCUGUAACUGACGCUGAGGCGCGAAAGCGUGGGGAGCAAACA
rnacentral:rRNA from 1 species